GACCGGCGCACGGUGCGUAACGCGUAUAGAACCUACCUUUUACUGAGGGAUAGCCUUUAGAAAUGAAGAUUAAUACCUCAUAGUAUUGAGUUUUGGCAUCAAGACUUAAUUAAAGAUUUAUUGGUAAAAGAUGGCUAUGCGUCCUAUUAGUUAGAUGGUAAGGUAACGGCUUACCAUGACUYUGAUAGGUAGGGGUCCUGAGAGGGAGAUCCCCCACACUGGUACUGAGACACGGACCAGACUCCUACGGGAGGCAGCAGUGAGGAAUAUUGGGCAAUGGAGGCAACUCUGACCCAGCCAUGCCGCGUGCAGGAAGACUGCCCUAUGGGUUGUAAACUGCUUUUAUACAGGAAGAAACACUGGUAUGUAUACCAGCUUGACGGUACUGUAAGAAUAAGGACCGGCUAACUCCGUGCCAGCAGCCGCGGUAAUACGGAGGGUCCGAGCGUUAUCCGGAAUCAUUGGGUUUAAAGGGUCCGCAGGCGGUCGAUUAAGUCAGAGGUSAAAUCCCAUAGCUCAACUAUGGAACUGCCUUUGAUACUGGUUGACYUGAGUCAUAUGGAAGUAGAUAGAAUGUGUAGUGUAGCGGUSAAAUGCAUAGAUAUUACACAGAAUACCGAUUGCGAAGGCAGUCUACUACGUAUGUACUGACGCUGAGGGACGAAAGCGUGGGGAGCGAACAGGAUUAGAUACCCUGGUAGUCCACGCCGUAAACGAUGGAUACUAGUUGUUGGGAUUUAUCUCAGUGACUAAGCGAAAGUGAUAAGUAUCCCACCUUGGCGAGUACGSUCGCAAGACUCAAAACUCAAAGGGAAUUGCACGGGGGCCCGCACAAGCGGUGGGAGGCAUGUGGUUUCAAUUCGAUGAUACGCGAGGAACCUUCACCAGGUCUUAAAUGUAGUAUGGCAGGCCUAGAGAUAGUUUUUUUCUUGCGGUACAUAUUACAAGSUGGCUGUCAUGGUUGUGCGUUCAGUCUCCGUGCCGUGUGGUCGUGCAGGUUAAGUUCCUAUAAACGCGCGCAACCCCUGGUUCGUUUAGUUGUCCAUUCAAGU
rnacentral:rRNA from 1 species